AUAACCAUCCUAUAUCUUUUAUCUAUGUACAUAACCACAAAAGCUACUCAAUUAAUAGAAUACUAAAAUGACUAUAGGUUGAUGACUAUAUAUAGCACUUCUUAGUAUACUGAUUGUACAUUAGAUACCAAGGCUGGCUGGUUCACUUCUUCACCUUCAGACGAAGAGGAACUUCGUACACUUACAAAAAUGAAAAAAAAAUAGAACACACAGUCCAGCAAUACUAUUCAGACACUUAUGAACGCCAUUUCCAAAUGACAAUAUAAACAAUCGGCGAGCUUAUUGUAAAAUGAAAAACAUGUGAAUAUUCUACAAAGAAUUUUUGAAUAUUUGUGCUCGAAAUAAGCUCAUCUUAAAAUCUCAACAAUGGUUCCGUCAAUAAGCAUUUAACAAACAAUUUGUUUUUAAUUUCCAACAAGAUGAGAAAGAUGUAAUCUUGGCAUUCCAACAAGAUCACUUUCUAAAACAACUAAAAAGAUGCCCCAAGAAAAAUUGCAGGAAUCAACAAGUGCUAUUGUGAAAUAUAAAAUAUAACGGGAAUUAUACAGUAUAUUGUAGAAAAUGUAAACACUACAGCCGCAUUACUAAUGGCUCAUUCUUUGAAGGCACCCAUUUGUCAUUUGAAGAUAUAAUUAUUAGUCUAUGGUUUUGGGUUUUUCAUGUAUCCUCUCUAGAUGCUAACAAAGUAUCAUCAAUUAGAAGAGAAGCUGUGGUUCAAUAUUAUAGAUAUUUCAGAGAUAUUGUCUCAUGGAAAAUCCCAUCAAUGCCACAUCAAGAAAUUGGAGGAGUUCACUAAGAUCUGCCAAAAAUUGUACAUUCAACAAAAAGUCAUUACUACCGAAGAUCAAUCAAGGGACAAAUUUUGAUGAUAGAUACUUCUAAAAUCCAUGAACCAAGAUUAUGUGUAAAGAAGAAAAAUCCAGAAGAUUACUUUGUAUAAGGCAUAUUAUUAAGAAUUGGAACAUACAGAGCAAAUGGAAAGAUGUGGAAGAUUAUUAAUAAUGAAAAACCAAAUACCAAAAAUUACCACAGAAACGUUACUGAUGAUACUAAGAAUUGAAAAUUCAGAACAAAGCAGAUGUUUAGGAUAGCAUAGAAAUAAUUGAGAUCAGGGCAUUUAAGGUAAAACUGAAUUGGUGUCGGAUAUGGUAUAAUAAUGUACGGACAAAGAAGAUUUAAGAAUAUAUGAGUCUUUGAAAACUUUAAUUUGCUACCAAGAUGAUGUUAAAAGUUUCAAGAAAAGAAAUGAGAAGCAAUCACAAAAAAAUGGUUUCAAUAAUUUAGUAUAUUUUGUGAUUUGUAGAAAUUGGAGUUUGGAAUUACAAAGUUAGAAAUGUGAAAGCGAAGAACUUUAAUCAUUUUAUCAAAUUUAUUAGAUUAAUUAGAUUUUUAAGCAAGCCUGUUAAGAAUAUUUAUUUUUUUGUCAGUUCUUAGCCUAAUAAAGUGUCAAGGAAAAUUAAUUAUUUUUAGUGUAAUAUACAAUUUUAAUUUA